rnacentral:rRNA from 1 species
AGUGAACGCUGGCGGUAGGCCUAACACAUGCAAGUCGAACGGCAGCACAGUAAGAGCUUGCUCUUACGGGUGGCGAGUGGCGGACGGGUGAGGAAUACAUCGGAAUCUACUUUUUCGUGGGGGAUAACGUAGGGAAACUUACGCUAAUACCGCAUACGACCUACGGGUGAAAGCAGGGGAUCUUCGGACCUUGCGCGAUUGAAUGAGCCGAUGUCGGAUUAGCUAGUUGGCGGGGUAAAGGCCCACCAAGGCGACGAUCCGUAGCGGGUCUGAGAGGAUGAUUCGCCACACUGGAACCGAGGCACGGUCCAGACUCCUACGGGAGGCAGCAGUGGGGAAUAUUGGACCAUGGGCGCAAGCCUGAUCCAGCCAUACCGCGUGGGUGAAGAAGGCCUUCGGGUUGUAAAGCCCUUUUGUUGGGAAAGAAAAGCAGCAGGUUAAUACCCCGCUGUUCUGACGGUAACCAAAGCAUAAGCACCGGCUAACUUCGUG